rnacentral:lncRNA from 1 species
CUCAUCUUCUCCACACGGUUUUCCUUUCUUCCGAUAUCUGAGUCAGGUUGACCUCCACUCGGCUGUCCAUCUUACUUGGCGUGUUAUUCCGUACGGAACUGGUUUGCUUUCCCAUAUAUCCAAAGGCUUACCGGUCAUUUAGGGGGAGACAAGAAGAGUGGGGCACACCAGUAGACCAGUACUUGGACACGCUAUUCUAGCCUCUGGUCAGUAUGCAAUUUUGUCUCGUGAUCGACGCUUUCAACAAAGUUUGUUCCUUAAAAAUUCAUUCGGACUCGUCUUCAAACACGAAGAGAUCCGAACGAAAAGGAGAUGCUAAAGAAGGAUUCCACCAAGGUUGAAAUUUUCGUGCUGCUUGGAAGUAGUUUUGAAGAUGACGUAAGGGGAUGAAACGAAGAAAUAAUGAUGGAAAGUUGGAGCGUUGAGAGACAGAGGAAGGUGCAGAGAAGAAGUAGAAA